UACAGAGAUGGCAACCGUUGUUCGGAAUCACUGGGCUUAAAGCGCACGUAGGCGGGAUGGUAAGAUGAUUGUGAAAGGCCCUGGCUUACCCAGGGAAGUGCAGUCAUGACUGCUGUUCUGGAGUACGAGAGGGAAUAGUGGAACUCCUAGUGGAGCGGUGAAAUGCGUUGAUAUUAGGAGGAACGCCGGUGGCGAAAGCGACUAUCUGGUUCGAUACUGACGCUGAGGUGCGAAAGCUAGGGGAGCAAACGGG
rnacentral:misc_RNA from 1 species